GAUUAUGUUGCAGAUGAACUUAGAGAUGUCUUCAAAAAUGUAUCAGAUGAAGUUUCAAAUUGCAAGCACUUAGUUUCUUAAUAAGUUGGCAUUGGCCAAGUCCUUUAGCAUAGGAAGGUUGCCUAGAUUCUAAGUUCAUUUGUCCAAGUUCAAACCAACAGUCCACUCAAAAGUGUUUUAGGGUUUAUUGUUGUUAUUAUGUACAUUAAUGGUCAAAGGCCACACAAGCAAACAAAGUAUACAAACAAAAUAUAUCACACAAUAUGG
rnacentral:lncRNA from 1 species